UUUGUUCUGUAGACCAUAAAAGCAUCUGACACAAACAAACAAACAAAAAAACUGCUACAAAUGCAGUAUUUGUUACAUUGAAAGAAACUUUACAAACCUAACAUGAAAACAAACCCAAAAAUAAUAGUAAAUCAUAUUGUAUGCUCUUUUCCAUUGCUGCCUUUACAUGAUUUGAAACCUGAUGAAGAGCUUAUUUGCCUUAAAGCUUGUUUUUUACCAACUGUAUCAGUUAAUCUAAUAAAAGAUAAUGACUAUACAAACUCUCUCCUCACAUACAUUUCACAGAGUCUAGAUAGAGGGGAAAAAAUUAAGUUUGAAAACCCUACUUGUGCAGUCCCAUUGAAAGGACAACGAAUUUGUCUGGAUGCAAUAUGUAAUAAAUAACCCUAUGGGAAAAAAACAAAACAACAAAAAAAAAAGCAGAAACUCUCACAGCAUGUGCUUUACAAACUUGAAUAACUUGGACAUUUAAAUUGUUUUGUUUGGUCUCCUGCAUAUGGCAAAAUGGCCCAAUUGAUGCACUAAGUACCAUCAGUAUUUCAUUUUUAAGAAUUUAUCUGUUCUCCCUCCCCCUCCCCAUGAUGAUGGAGGAUAGGAUCAGUUUAGUAUCUGGAUCGCUGGCAGUGCACUUGAGUGCUGGUGAGUCAGCUAGAUGGGAAUGCUCCCUCUGAGUCAGUGCGGAGCCAGCCUCCCAGCAUGGUGCUUGGGGACACUCUGGUGCUUGAGCUGCAAUCAUUUAGAUCAGAGAAAACCAAAGCCCUGAACAGUUGCGGUCACUUGAGAUCAGAUGGAAAAAAACAGAGAUAUUAUGCCAGUAUCCUCAGCAAACUCAAAAGAAGACAAGAAUUGCACUAGGCCAGAUCUGCUCGCACUCUGCCAGGAAUCUUGGUGAGAUAGACUUGUUUGUUUUCUGCCAUUAAAUAGUCAAGCCUUUUUCGUUUACUUUUCUUUUUCCUUUUUCUUUCUUUCUUUCUUUCUUUCUUUCUUUCUUUCUUUCUUUCUUUCUUUCUUUCUUUCUUUCUUUCUUUCUUUCUUUCUUUCUUUCUUUCUUUCUUUCUUUCUUUCUUUCUUUUUCUUUUGGAAGAAACCGUGUGUGUAAAACUUGCUGUAUUUCACACCAGCAGUGGUUUCGUUUUAGUUCUACAGAAAAUGGUUCUGGUAUGGAUAAACUGUAGGAUUUCACAUGACAAGGAAUAAAUCAGUCCUAGCUGUGCUUUUGCAUUGAUUUCAAUGAAGUUUUGAGCAGUUCCAGAGUUUUAAAAGCAUCUAUAAAUCAUCUGAUAGAAAAUAAAAGAUAUUUAAUCACAAAUGAAUUCUUCUUUCAGAAACUAUAGGUUUUUUUUUUAUUCCCUAGCUUGCAAACUGUUUGGAUCAGGGACCUGAUUUUCAUUUUAUGUUCACCUUCUGUAUAGCACAGUUGUCUCCUCUGGGCUUUGGAAUUACCAUCUCAGCAAAGCUGUAAUAAGAGUGAUAACCCUGAUGACAAUUAUGUCCAUAAUAAUAAAUUCAACUCUUUCCAGUAAAUAAUAUGUACAAUUAUUACACUCAAUUUCUGUUUAUAAUUCAAGUAUUUUUAGUUUCCCUUAACAAAAGUUCAUGUCACUGACAAUGCAUCUAAUUAAGUACACUAAAAUGAACAUCUGCCGAAUCUCCAGCCAAAAGGAAAGCUCUGAUUCUCUCUUGCUUCAAGAACAAGAAGGACAUACUGACAAGAUUUUUCUAUUUUUCAUUCUAAAAUACACUAGCUCGUGUUGUAACCAUCAUCCCCUUCACUCACAUGGUUGCAUGGUUAGUUGACAAUUUAUUAGGGAUUCAUCAUGCGCACAUAAACCAUCUGACAAUCAGUUCAGCAAACACAACAUUAACUCUAAAAUUUCAAAUUGAUUCAAGGUGCACAGGUAAGGGAAAAAAGGGGAUGGUAUUCAAAGUAAAACAAAUAAACAUUUACUUUAGGACUGUAUCGAUAUUGAAGAGCACAUCUCCUAAUGUGUGAAGAUUGAAUGAAACUCUCCACAAAGUAUAUGUUGAGAUCUUGACCUGAGAACUCAUGUUACAGGAUAGAUCUCAAUGCAAAAUUGAAAGGAAUGAGUUCUCCACCCACCAACUCCAGCACUGCUGCUAGGCACUAUAAUAAUUAAUCGAGCCUUGAUAUUUCAUCAGCCUUUGAUUACAGUGGAACAUUUCACACAGAAAGUGAGACAAUGUUGCAACAAAGUUAGGAGAAAAAAUCACAUUUCAGCCAGCAAAGUUUAGGGAACUUUGACAUUUGAUUUCACUUAGUAGAGUGAAAAAUUGCAUUAGAGUAAAGAGGAACAUGCUACUUUGAGCGGGAGAGACACGGGUCAGCCAGCAUACUGUCCACUAAAUGUUUCAUAUAUUUAAUAGUUACUGUGAAAGAUAAGGGAGCAGAUUCUCAUUUUUACCAAGAUUUUGAUGCCUGCAGAUGAAGGAGACCUCUUUUUCCACAAACAUACAAACAGUAAUCCCAGCCACUCUGAACAGUGAGUCCUUGCCCAUGGAAUCCAAAGAUUGUUCCAAAUCUCUCAAGUUGGUCUAAGCCUCUAACAAAGUGUUGGACAGUUGAUCACUGGUAGAGCAGACACUGAAAUACAGCCCAUGACACUCAGUGACAUGUUUUGGAGUGAAAGCCUUGCCCAAGGUUAGCUGUGCCAGAGUGUGCUGCCAAGGCACCCUGGCGCUAUGGCUCAGGAGCCAGUGGAGAUCUGCUUUAUACUGCGAAAUGAAGAAUUAUAGAGUUUAUUUUUCUGACUUCCUAUAUUCACCUCAGUAUCACAUGGCUUUCCAGCAUCAAGCCCUUUCCUAGUUGAAAGUUUCUGACAAUGAUUUGAGUGUAAGCCUCAAGCAGUUUGGGAGAGGGUUGUGUGUGGGGAGGUCUUGGUAUGGACACAACAUUUAGAGUAUUUCACCAUUCUUCAAUUGCAUGAUCUUGGCAAGGAGGGGAGAAAAUUAAGUAUCAAGGGGAAAAACAAACUAACAAACAUACUUUACUAUUUUUGAUUCUGCAAAUUCUGUAUGUACUUAUAUGGAGAAAUCUAUUACCCUCAUAUAGCAAACAUUUUAUUCAGCAACAUGAUGUAAACAGAUAAUUUUGUCUUUUUUGCUAGGACUUUGGAUGAAAGAAUGUUUGGGGAGGGGGGGAACACUGGGAUGUGUGAAAUGUAAGAGAGGAAAUGUAAGAAGAGAGAAAUCAGAACAUGACGCAUAAUAAGGCUACAGAAAGAGCAGCUGAUAAAAAAAAAAGAUAAGCAGUAAAGAGGAAAUUAAAAGACAACAACUUAUCCUCUUGGAAUUAAUCAAGAAAUGAGAACAUGUAUGCCUGUAGUAACAUCUCCAUCUCCCAUUGGCAGUUCCUCCAAAAUCCAGGGUGUUCCCUGAAUCCUGGCUGACAUCCAGCUUGGGUAAUUAUAUUCUACUUACACAAAAUUCCCCUUGCAGUUUCAAUUGGACACGACUUUGCAUCCCAACAUUUUCUGCAGUGUGGUUAUGUGUGCUUCACAGCAGAGAUGGCUGCAUUUCAGUAGGGAGCAAAGUUAUCUUCCUAUAUAGCUCAUAUACUAUGUUAUAAAGCACCUGGGACCAUUCUGCAUCCAAUGUGCUCAACACAUUAUGUUAUCAGAAGUAUGCAAGUUAUUAGGAGAAAUAGUAUACAGUAAUCAUUUAUCUAUCAAGAUAAUAAAUUUUGUGUUAAGUAGGGUCUAAGCUAAAUCACAGCACCAUAGUAGUGCUCAGAUGGAAUUGAAUGGCACAGUUAUAAAAGUAAAUGAACAAGCCAGUAUGGCUACAGCUGGGAAAAGUAAAUCAAAGGCCCAGAUCCUCAGUGUAAGUAACAUGAAUUCAUAGAAGCUCAGCUAUUUACACCAGUGGGGAAUCUGCCUCAAAAAAACAGGCUGGCAAAGAGAGAAUGACCAUCCUUCCCAGUGUUUUAAUGUUUUCCCACCCAGCAGAAGCAAGCAGGCAUUUUUUAGCAGUGGUUGAAGACUCAUGGGAGGUUAUGAAGCCAGAAAAUAAGAGUAAGGGAAAAAUCACACAGACACACACAUAAAUUCAAGGGAAGAGCCAGUGCCAGCAGAAGAGAAAAGAGUGAUUCAGAAUGCAUCUAGGAUUGUAGCCACAGGUGAAAGAUCCAUAAGAGGGGAAACUGUGCUGUUGCCCAGUAGCUUGAAAUGAAAUCCGACUUCUUAUUAGUUUGGGAUAUUUAAAAAAAAAAAUAUUUUAUGUUUAGAUCAAAAGGGCAUCGAGUAAUGCAAUCCAUGUGUUUACACAGAGAACAGCAUUAGUAUGGGGAUGCAUGGAAACCACAUGGGAAUAUCUGCUAAAUGAGACCAUGCCAAAAACAUCCAUUCAGCAGUCUUGCAAAACCCAUUGUAUGGAAGAGAGUUGACCACUGCAUAAUUCAACUGAGAGAAAGGCACUGAGUGACUGAGUGCAGCAACUUGUGAGAGAGAGACAAGUUUGCUGUACUGGUCUAACGUGUUAAUUUCACAAUCAUUUCCACAUUCAGAAUUAGAUGAAGCAUGAUAGACUCCACAAUGAAAAGUAUGAGAUAAAAAUGAAAUCAAUUAGAGUAGACAAAACAGAGCAUUCAGCUUCCAGAAUUUCAGAAAAGCAUGCUUAAAAUAAGAAAAAAUAUAAGUUAAUAUUUGAUAAAUUAUUGUUUUAUUUAUCUUCCUUUUUGACUUACUGAACAGUCACUGGCUCUUCAUUUAUUACUUCUCAGAGUAAAAUGUAACACGAAAAGGACUGUAUAGUAAGAAACACAUUUUCUAGAGCAUGACUUUUCAGUUCAACACAGCUCAGUUGGAUCCACAAAGUAUUCUUGUGAGAGAGAGAGAUCCACUUAAUCCUUUGACCUUGGUGAGGUUAUACAAAUAAGGAAUUAUUGGGGCUGUGUGGAAUCUAGGAUUAUAGACACUGUUUCCAAAACCUCACGAAGACAGAGGUAAAAGAAGAAGCCAGGAUUUGGCUUCUUCUAAAGAGGAAAGAAUGUCAGUUGUGAAGGUGAAGAGUUUAGCUCCUGCUGUGUUUUGAUUGACCAGUUAGUACUGUUACAAACCUCAGAAGAUAGCAAGAAAAUAAAUGAGUCAACUGAAGUAAAUUAAAAGAGCUAAUAUCAGAGAGAGAAGAACACACUGGAUACAAUAAAAAAUUGAUAGAUUUAAAUGGGAAAAAAAAAAACAGAAAAUGUAAUUUAUUUUAAAAUAGGAGGAACUUUUGAAGUAUAACAGCUGUAGAUAUUUCAAUACCUGAAAUAAAAAAUAACCUUUUCAGAAGCAACAAAGAUAAUUGGGAAUAAAGCUUAAGAAAAUGGGUCAAGGAAUAUUUUUAUUAUUAUUUUGCACAUACUGUGUGGUAUUUUGCUGAAUUACAGAACUGCAUAUCUGAAAAUCUAACUGAAGCACAAGAGACAAGAUUUAAUUCUUUAUUGCGGGUCUGCUAAUGCUCUUCAGAAUUAAGCUAAAUUACCCUGUCUUUGAAGCCUCAUAUUCUUGACAAAUAUCUAAGACUUUUUGAUCUUUACCAUGUAUUUCACGCUGGUCCACAGUGAACUUUGCAAAAAAUUAGCUUUUGAUUUUGUCCCUUGCAUUUUGUCAACUGGAUUCUUGUAAGCUUUGGUUUAGCAACUUUAAAUCUCUGCUUCACAGAGGCUAAUUAAAUUAAAUCAACUGAGUGAAAAGGCAGCCUCUCAGGUCUGCAGUAGAACAAGAGGCAAUCCCAUAGGGAUGAAGAAGGGUAACACAGCAGCAUGUGAGCUUCUCCCCUUCCCCCUUCUUCUUUGUGAAAGCUGUCCUAGGCACUGUCCAGGAGACUGUGAGCUGAAACUGGCGUCUACCGUCAUCUAACACUGGGCACAAGAAAAUAAGCCAAAGAGACAACAGAAGGAGAAGAGAAGUGCCAAUGUCCUCACUAUUUUGGCGCCAAGUGGAAAUAAACUCUACAUUACUAAUUUGUUUGAUUAAGGACACAUGACUUUUCUCCAUACACUUGUGACUGGUGAGAAAGCUGCUGGAAUAUGGCUUUUGAAAUCUUGUAUGCCAUUGAUUGCAGCUCACACACUAUGGGCAGAAACUACUGUGUUAUCCCCUGAUUAAUAGAAUGGCCUCACUAUAGGAAAAUCUAUAAAGCUGAAAAAGCUUAAGGUAAUUUCUACUGGUACAUGACACAGGCUUGCAAUCAGCUGGCGUAAUUUGGUGCCAUAGUUGUUAUCCUAUCAGGUACAGGUGCAAGUUUAGAAAUCUUACCUCCACAGGAAUGUUCUUUCAUACUGCAAUACAAACUCAUUGAUUAACAAAGUUUAAGUGACCAAAACAGUAUUGAAAAUUGAAACUGGAAAUUAUUUCACUGUACUGUAUAAAAUGGCAGUAACCUUUCCUUUCCACAUUUGAUGUGGUCUUCUGCUAAGUGAGUGACAAUCUGGUUGCACAAAGCUCAAAUCAGGGGACAAAUCUGCUAGGAGAGGCAACACCUGUUAUUUAACUGGUUAAUAACACUGUGGGCCAGAGGGGAGAUGAAAAACAAAUGCUUUCAAGCACACAAGCUCUUCAGAAAUAAAUCUCAUGUCCUUACACUCCUUAAACUCAAUGGGAAUUUUACCAUUGACUCAUUCAUCUCCCAUGAUAUUUAAAUUGCAAAUCGUGAGGAUGUAAGAUCCAUCCUAAAGGAAGGGAAAUUGCCUACCAUUAAAGAAAUGACAGAGUUGUUCUAAAUAAAGCCUGGAGUGCUGGAGCAUCAUGACCCAAUGUAGGUGUAGAGUUCAGAGAAGGCAAGUCACAACACUUUUGUGCAGUGGUUUACCCACCUGUUAAACGGGUCUAACAGUAAACCUCAGGAAAAUAGAGAUGAUUAAUUAAUGUGUCUGAUGUUCUCCAAGAUUCCAGAGAGGAGAAAGAAUACACUGCAAAAUAUUACUCUGAUUUUUUGUCAUUUUGGUGAUCCAUCAUCCUGCAGCACUGUGGGGACAGGAACUACUGCUUGAUUCAGCAGGCAGACACAUGCAAAAGCUGUUGAGAUUUGCCUUUGUUGUGGGCUGUCAAAUGUGUUUUUAUUUUUAUUUAAUUAUUGUCCUUUAUUGGGAGUGAGUUUCAAUUCACAGUGUUUUCUUGGGCCAUCAGAUUAUGAGGUGGUACCGAGGGAAGUGCUGCAAAGUAGGUCAGGUACCACAAAUGCAACCAGACAAGUCACUCAGGGGAAGAUAGCUAUUUCAAAUAAGACAGAGACUACAGCCUGGAAGACAAUGAUUAAAGCUUAGAAACCUUUUCUGAAGCUACUGCAUGAUAGCCCUGGAUGACUACAGAUAAAAAGUCAGAUAAAGCUGUUUUACUAUCAGCUUUCAGUCGUGCUAAAAUCCUGAUUCUGUCAACCUUACACUAUACCUUGCCUGGCAAGGGGACCCAUUUCCUGUGUUCACACAGAAUAAUUGAGAUAUGAACAUACACACUUGAGUAGUACUGUCUACAUUAGAUAAACUUUGCUAGGACAUUUGAAUUUUUAUCCAAAUUGAGACCAUUUGUUGAAUCUUUUGGAGGUCUAAAACAGGUGGGGCUUAAAAACUUGUCAACUGCCCUAGGUAUUGAAAUAUAUGUCUAUCACAAGAUGCCUUCAAUAUUUAUUGAACUCAAGAUAUCUUCCCUCACUUAUAAAUGGAAAAUAAGUAUUUCAGAGAUGCUUACAUAUGUAUGUCACUCCAACAGUAAUGCCUCCUAUUUCUUUUCAUAGAAACUGCAACGGAUACAAAAAGCACAAUAACACUGUUUGACAGAGCAAAUGCUCAGCUACAAAACACUACUUUUCAGCAUGGUCACAACCAUUAGAUAUGCAUUUCCACCAGCAAUGAACAAGAGCCUGUAUGCCACGCUAGCAGAAAUCUGCACCCACCCACUGUUGAUGUUGACACUGCUGAAAUGCACCAUCCACCAUCUCACAGUGCUCACGUCCAAUCUUUGGUCUCCAUAAAUGUUCAGCAAGCAUCAGUGAAUGUCCAUGGGUCAUUAUUUUCUCAUAGAGGAAUUCAGUGACACACCUUCAAUCCAUACACACCCCCACGUCAGACGCCAUUUUGUCAGACUGCCCCUCUGCUGCCAUCUGUUGCACAGCAACAAAAUGUAGGGGAAUAUAGUCAGGAAGAUUCAAUCUCUACUGUCAAACCACCAACAAUCACAUCUGAUAUUGUAGGUCAACAUGAUAAAAUAGGAGGCAUUACUCUUAGAGUAGCCCUAUAUGUUUAUAGCCCAUAUAUGUUUAUUUUAUCUAAAUCUGUUUUCAUCUGCCUAGCUUCUCAUUUAGCUGUAGUAAUAGCUUCCUAGUCCAGCCUCGUCAAAUUAUGUAAACAUUGUUCAUCUUUAGCUGCACUUUUCCUUAUUCUAUUACAUUGGUCUGAAAAAGACUGAAUUUCAUGAGCUUCCUAACUCUAUUGCUGAGCUUAUGACUGCUUCAGUUUUUGUCUGUUCUUUAGGACUAAUGCUUUUCUAAUAUAUUUUCUUUGUUCUAGAAUGAGAAAGCAGAAAAUAAGCUAAGUCUGUUUUUUUCUGUCAUUUUUGUUUUUGUUUUUGUUAUUUUGGUUUGAUUUGGUUUCAUUUUCCUCAGUAAAAUUUUUGAUUGAGAUAUCAAACUGUUUCUGAUGUUGACUUCUGACAAAACCAAUUCUAUCAGCAGUACCUCAGUAUGCCAUAUAGUCCUACCACUCUUUUCCUUCACCACCUUGUGCAUGUUUCAUGUUCCUGGGCGGGCAAGCCUUGAAAGAAUGCUGUUACACAGCUCUUGUUUAGUGUUUAGAUCUUUAAUAUUUAGAUCUUUAAAGCAUUUUGUGUCUAUGCCUAGCAGGAUUUGUGCCAGUUCUCCAACAAUGUAGUUGAAUCAGUAACUUGGAACCUAUUCCAUGAUAGUGGGUCCAGCAGUCUGCUCUGGGUAUGGAUCUUAUGAGUCCUGCAGCCUGCAGGCCUCUUUGCCAAACAAUGAUAUAAUCAGUGAGCUGCCAGCUCUUGGAUCAAGGAUGUAUCCAAGAUAUUUUAGGCUUAUCCAAUUACUGAAUAAUUGUGUUUGCAAUAACCAGCUUGUGUUCAGCACAUUUGGUUAUUAGAAGAAAGAUGAUUGCUGCUGACUCUCUCAGUGCCAGUACAGCCAGCAAAACUCCACUUUAUUAUGUCUCCACCAAGCUUAAAGAAGUUACCUCUGAGUGUCAAUUUUUCUGCCUGUGGUGUCACUACAAUGAUAUCCUGCAACCCACUCCUAAGCAGUUCAUUCACACUGCUCUCCUCCAGUGGAGUUAGCAUACAGGCAUUGAGAAUAUUGGCAGGAUGCCUCCAGUUUCCUCUCUUCUCCUCGCUUACACAAAUACAGAGCCCUCAAUGAUAAUCCUUAACUUUACAACCAACACUUGAAGCCAAGCCACCCAGUGAGCCAGGAGAAUGUGGAACUAUUCUGAAGCACUGAUGGGUAUCACUGUGCUCCUGCAGGCCCCUGUCCCUCCAGCGGGUAGAAACUCAGUUUACAUCCUCCUGGAAGGAACUGUUUUGGAUCUUGAACAAGUCUAAUGGGGAGUGAAUAGGCAGCUUCAAGGGUCCUGACAAAGUGUGCAAGUGACAAAUGAAAGGAAGAUGUUCAUUUAUACACACUAUGUGUGAUCUUCUCUAGGGCUGGGGUAUGAAUUUUGCUCUUGACCACAGUCUUCCUUCUACUUUUGUUAAGCUGUUCCAAAAAGCAGGCCCUUGGAGAAGUGUUCAGCACUAUAGGAACUCUGGAUUUAUGUUGGAUGCUUUUUAAAAGAGUGGCAGAGGACAUCACGUCAGUGAGAUUUCACCAAUUCAAGGAAAAACCUUGAAAACUCUAAUCAAGUCUGUCCCAUAUUCAUGCAACAGUAAAGACAAAAGGAUGUAAGUGCAUCAAAGUCUGUUUUUGAGUCUGACUGUAAAGAAUAAGUUAUUAUUCUUUGGAUUAUUUUUUUUUACAUUUCAAUGUUAUUUGUUGGCUCACAGAUAUUUCUUUUUCUUUCUCACACCUCAUACUUUGGCAUGACAACCUCUAAGCAAAUGCUACCAAGAUUACAUUAGGAAACCUCACUCAACAAUGCAGGUACAGUAAAAGAAAAAUGAAAAUGAAAACAAAAAAAAACUCAGGAGAGAAAAAAAAAAAAAUACCAACAAACAUGACAGAACCGCUUUGUUUCCCAAAUUAUCAUCAGGCUGUCCAGACAUGGAGAAGCAGUGAACAGCUAUCACAGUGUGGAUAAUAUAGAGAAGUGCUUCCAGGAACAAUGGGAGCAGCCUCCCGUAUGCAGAAUGGGAGCUGUCAGUGGGAAUUAGUGUCCCACAGAUCCUCCCCAUCUCCCAGUGACGGAUCCAGAAGGUGUGCUUGUGGGGUCAGGUGGGAAGGCAAAGCACUGAAGGUUGCAACACAUCCAGUGUAUAGAGAGUAUUAUCAAAUUACUUUGUCAUCUUUAACAGCCCUGCAGGGACUGCAGUGGAAUCUCAGUCCUUUUUUUAAUGAAUGGAAGUUUUACCCCGAAUAGUAAGAGCAAGAUAAAUACUUUUAGCUGUUUUACUUAGCUCAUUUUUUCUUUUCCUCCCUUUUUUUUUUUCCUUUAAUUUUAAAUAAUUACUGUUUUAAAGCCAGCCAAGGCACAUAGGGUUAAAGAUGUAAAAUCUCAGCAUGGUGCAAUAAAGCUGAUACUGAAAUAGUGUAUCCCUACUGUAGGAGGAAUCUGCAAUCAGGACUUCCAAGCACAUGCAAAAAAUAACUCUUGGAUCAGUCUUCUUGUCUUCCAGUAGACUUGGCAAGAAAGGCAAGCCAUAUGUGAAGCCAGCCAUAUAUCAGUUAUGUGGUCUUAGAUAUUUGCAAUAAAACAAAGGACUUUGCUGUCAGCCCUUCCUGAUUUCAUGAAGCCUUUACAGCUCACAGUAAUGUCUCUUUAUCAAAACCCACAAAGUUAUCCUUAGACAUGUGCAUUUCUUAGGGAAAAUAUUCUCUGAAAUAGCUAUUUAUGAUUAAAUCCAUCAGGGAAAGGGGAAGACAUGAAAGGACUUAAUACAGCCAGUUUCAGCCAUGCUGAAUGCAUCUAGGAAUGACAAACGAGUGUAAAAACAAUUAAAAAUAAAAUAAGUAAGACCGGGGGAAGGGAAAAGGGUAGAAGAAUUAAAAUAGACAUACACAAAACAAUACGAUCAAGAAUGAAAUCUUUGUGACAGUGAUGUGGAUGCCCUGGUAAAUUAAGUGGAACUAAAACUUCACACCAGAAUUGCUCCUGGCCAUUUAUUUAGGCAGUAUUAGCCAGCAGUUUCAUGCAGGGAUCGUGCUAGGAGUGGGUUCAAGGAAAAAAAUUUGUAAGGGUGUUUUUCCCAGCCAAUGUGAGGUGGAUGGUCUGCACACAGGGAACAAGAAAGAUGGCUGAGAAUAGUUCAGAGUGAGCCACGAAGAGAGGUCAGGAGCUAAUGAAAAGUUAGCCCCCGGACCUGCAAAACCACGGGGAUGUGAACAGCCCUAUGCGUGUGAUUGCUCAGUUAUGUGAAGUUCACUGCGUGCUCAAGCUCAGGGUAAGAACUUGUUUGAUUUGAUGUAGUAGUGAGAGGAGUCAGGGGCGGGAUUUGAAAAGUGACGUGAUUGCAGCAGUGCUUUUCUGAAACAACUUUACAGAAAAAAUUCGGAGAGUGCAUUCCUUACAAAACUGAUAAGGUGUUACUAUAGAACUGCAGUAAUGACUUUGGCAAACAGUUUGUGCAAAUUUCUAGACUAUAAUUGCAAAUGUGGAUUUUUAAUCAAAUAUUAUUAACUAUUACAUAAUGAAAAGAAAUAAAAUCCCAAUAGACAGAUUAGCAUUUUUACUCUCUUUAAAAAACCUUUUUUACAAUGUUCCUUUGAGCCAUAUCCUAAGUUUUAAAAGCAUUUGGGUUUUCUAGAUCAGAUUCUGCAAGGCUCUUGGGCUAACUUUAAGUAUGUGAUUUGUCUAAUUGGAAUUAGCAGCUUGCAACCACGUAUGUUCCUAUGGAUCUUGCCAUGUCAUGCAGGUUUUCUUUUUCUUUUUUUUUUCCUACCUUAAAACCCAAUCAAACAAACAAAAACCAUAGUUAAAAUCGACUCCUGUCCCACCUCUUUUUGUUUAUUUAUUUAUUUUAAAUUCCCCUAUGUUAAAUCUUCACAAAAUCUUUCUUAUCACCUCGUGGAUUAAUUGCCAGUGAAAUAUUUGCUUUGGAAUGAGUAUCUCUUACUAAUGUGUCCUGCUCAGUGUUUAUGACUUAUAACUAUUCAGGGCAACAUACUAUAUUAUACAAAUAUUUGAAGCAAUCACAAGGGGGGCAAUGCUUUAACAUAAUCCUUCACUCACAAGUUGCCCUUGCAGCCCUUUUCAGUUACUUUUCAUUAUUUCACCACAGGGGAACAGUCUCAAUAAAUUAUUGUAUUAACAAUUACAUUAAAAAUGAGCCCUGGAACCCCUUUCUCUACCCCAGUAAAUGUCAUUUAACAGUUUUUGGUGUGGAAAUAUGCAACAGAUAAGUCAAGUGGGUUUUUCUUCUACUUCUUACAGAGGUAUGAAAAUAUCAGUAGAUGCUCAGAUCUCCGCUACUCAAAACAUUACGGGUCAGAUCCGAGCAGAGUGGAGAGGUCAGUGCUCCAUCAUCACAGCUUUAUAUCAUUAUGGGCUUUAGGGCAUAAUAGCCUGCAAGGAUGCUUGGUUAAAAGAUGGGAAGGAAACCUGAAAAAGGUUAAUUACGGCACGCACAGCACUUGACAGUUCCUUUUCAAUCUGAUUCAGCUCAGCUGUGAAUGCCACUGUGUCUUCUGCACAAAGAUCCCGCUCGCUGCUAUGCCACUUGCUGUCACCCCAAGGCAGUUGCGUGGUUUGCCCACAAGGACAGAUCCCAACCCCAAACACUGCAUGUUUUCCAAAGGGUGCACCUGCUUUGCUGUGGAUUUGGUGCUUAGAGCUUGCUGUCUGAAGCCUUAACACCCAGAAACUUGUUUUGACAGUUUGGGUUAUGUUCGUUAGGGAAUCCAAGGAGGGAAUAUCUCUGGAGGGGGCAGGGAGGAGAGGGAAAGAAGCACAAACAAAACAAAAACUUAAGCCUGUGACUAAUUGGCUGAAAGGAUGUGAGCAAUUCGGCUCCACUUAAUUGAAUGUGGGCUCAAAUUAAAAAGAAAGAGUAAUUGCCUUCAAAACUUUGCAUUGUAGAUUGCUGGUGAAAGGCUUAGAAGGUGAAAGCCUUAAAGCACAUGUGUCAGUGAUGUUGUUGACAGGAACCCAAAUAUCCUGUUAUAUGCAUCUGCAUUCAGAGGACUUCAUUCUAGAAGGGAUUAGCCUACAUUAUAUUGAUGGUUUUAUUUACAAGAUGAAUUUUCAUUAAAAAGGUACCCUGAUUUUUGCUAGAAAUUUCAGAAUGUGACCAUGCCUUCUAACUGCUAGCUGCCUUCUAAACAUUUCCUGAUCAGAGAACCUGAAAAUAGCUCUUCAGAUUUCAAAGUAAAUAUAAAGAAUCUCUGCAUUUGGUUACAAAUCCGCAUAUUCUUAUUCAUUUGUUCCUUCAAAUUUAGGGAGAACUUCAUCUGAGCAAAGGGAUAGUUGUGUUAAACACGAAUAACCAGGGAGUAGGGAGUCAAGGAAUUUACCUUGAAAGUACAAAUCUGAGUUAUGAGACCUUUUUAAAUAAAAAUCAGGAAUUAACUCAUGCGGUCUGUACAUUGCCAUUUAUUCUUUACAUCAAAGCUGCAUCCACAAGUUCUAGCCCCAUUGUGCUGUGCACAAAGACACAGAACAAAAGAAAUGUCCUACCUCUCAAAAUAAUUCUCUGCAAGAGUAACAAAGACCCUUUGUUUGCUAUUUAAGCAAGAUUGGUGGACAUCAUCUUUAAGAAGAAGCUCUGAGAAUCAACCUUUUCUGUCCUUUUCCAAAUAUGCAUAUGCACAUUUUUUGUGAGUCUGCUACAGUAAAAAGGCUCCUAAAGGAAAGAAUGGAGCAGAGCAAAAGGAAAAUAUUACUUUAUAUUAAUAACAAAUGGAGUGCACAACGCAUUCCACAUACAAAGGUUACCCAUCUACAGAGAUGGAAGCCAAGGGCAUUUUAAAACUUAAAGAUCCUUUAAAUAAACAUAUUGGUUUAAGUAGGAAGCAAAUAUUCUUAGCUCAGCAGGUAGUUGGUAUCUAAAUCACAUUCAGACUUCACAUAAAUACACAUGUCAAAGCAUUUAUCUAGUAAUAAAAAAAACAACUCUUAAGGAAUGCAGUUCAGAUAGGGAAGUGUCAGGUAUUUUGCACAUUUCCUAUUUCCAGCUCAUUAGUUUCAGCUUUUGACAGGGGUGGAGCUGAAAGAGGGGGUCAGAAAUCCUGUGGAGGUUUUUCUCUCCUCCCAAUUUCACAUGAAUAAACAGAGGGAGGGAGUCCCCUGCCUGUCUGCCAGGCUCUUAUCUAUCAUAUUUAGAUGCUAGAUGCUGUCAGAUACUAGAUAGCAAUGCCUGUAGGUAUUGCCAGUUACUGGGAAAUUAAACCUGGAACAGAAGAUACUCCUUUUCAUUCCCAAACUGACCUUAUGAUAUGAGUAGGUUUCAACAUCCUUCGAAAAACACUGAUGUCCAGACAAAGGUGGCAUUAUUAUAUUUUCAUCAUUUGCUACUCACACCUGAUUAUUAUUAUUUUUUUUCUCAUGUUGUCCACAAGUCUCUUACCAGCACCUUAUCUGUACCUUUUCUUUUGCCUACAUUAAUGUGUUCCUCUCAAAUCCAGGUUCUCUCACUCCGGAAGUUGUAGGUUUAGUACUGCACUGCUGGUUUUAAUUUGAACUUUCCUGAGUAUUAGGGAUUAUCAGAAAUACCUUGUUUUCAAAAAUAAAAUAGAAAGUGAAAAAAUAUACCUAGUUUUCCUUUAUUUCCCUAAAAAACAUUUCAGAAAAUGACAAUGCUUCCCUAGAGAGCGUUACUGUAAGAGGGACUUCGAUCUAAUUCUUGAAAUAUGUGCCUAUGAUCACUAACAGUCAAGUUAGCAAUUACCACCCUUGUGCAAGAAGAUACACACUGUAAGCCAAGAUAAGAUAUCCACACAAGCACACUGUCCCUACUAGCAGUAGAACAAACCUAGCCAGCACAAACUGCAAUAUAAAAGCUUUCAUGCAUUCAGCUGCUCUUUCAUCUGAAGGCUGAUAAAUUCCAGCUGAUGGAAGUUAACUUCUUAAGACACUGUUGGAGCAUCCCUUGGUUUGUUGUUGGUAGGAUAUAAAUUAAUAUUGAUAUUUAAGGUACUUUGUUUACAGAGAGGAAAGCCAACAAUAUGGCCUAACUUUUGACUGAGUGAGGUCUCAGAGGUUACUUUGCACUGGCAUGAUCAUCCACACCUUUGGAUUACUUUUUGAAAAAUCUUUGUGGAUCAUGAGAUGCUUCUACUGUGAUAUGAAAAGAAAAUGACUGGCUUUGAUUUGAUGGUCAGGUGGAAUUUCAGUUUGGUUCCUAUCACCUCUCAGACUUGCUUAGAUGAUUCUGUUCCUAAAGUCUGUAUGGGUGUCAGGAAGAACAAUUAUGACUUGUUUUAAAGCUGUUCUGUUAGGGUCACAGGUGAAGUAAAAGACCCAUAACAUUUACCAAUAAUCAUUAGGACAGAGCAUAAGUAUUCACUUUGAAUUAACUUGUAAGCUAGAAGCAUUAACAAAGGCUGCAGGAAGUAUAAUUCUGGGAGGCUCAAAUCUGAAAUUUAUUUUGUCGCACUGUCAUAAAGGGGGUGCAACUUCUUUAAUGGAUUUGAGCCGUUACUAAAUGCAGUAGAGAACCAUAGGAUUCAGUGGACUUCACACAGCCAGGAGUUCAGAGUCUGCCCACUGUGGCUGGUGAGCUAUUUCAGAUGUCUGUUUCUAGCAGAAAUAGACCCGAAAGUGGGUUUACUCUCAAAGAAGAAAAAAGUAGGGUGAUGUAAAUUUCUCUUAAUUUGAGACUACAUUAUGGCCUGCUGCUGCUCAGUCAAAGAAGAUCAAAAAAAAAAAAAAAAAAAAAAAAUAGUUGCCUUUCUUGCUCUGAGUUUCUAACUGUCCUGCUCAGAUUGUGAAGCUAACAGUAGCUAAUAAAGGAGUAAGUGAACCAAACAUGAAUAACAUUUAGUUUAAAACCUAUCAGAUGGCAGAUGGGCCAUGUCUCAUAGGUGUCGUGGAGACAGUUCAGUGGAGAAGAUGCUGACCUAAUGGUGGCAAGAAUAUACUCCUGCCACUGCUGAUCAUUUUUCAUGGAUUCCCAGUUGGUUGUUUGAUAUGCAACUCCAAAAUUUAUUGUUUUUCUCCUUUUUCUUUCCUUUCUGUCAGCCAAUAAAGAGAAACCAUAACAUCAGCAGUGUUUGAAAACAUAUUUAUGUUUGUUUCCCCUAUAAAAAGAGAUAAUAAUGUUAUGUUCCAAUAAUAUUAAGUUGCAAUGUUAUUUGCAAGAUUGCAGAGCUUUUAAUUUUCUGAUUAUUUCCACAGUGGGAGUUUCAGCUCAAUUUCUACUAAGACAUUUCUAUCUGUUUUGGUUAUUUUUUUAUUACAGCUAGAAGCAACAAUAAUUGCCUUUAGUGUAUGAAAACAUGACUGAGGAGACAAUUGUCGUCCCUAAAGACUAAAAUCAUCAGCAUACAUUUUUGAUGUAAAAUUUUUGUAAAUUAAUUGCAAGGUCCUAUAAAUAUUAUAUUUACUAAAAUUGUGUUGUCUGCUGUCUUCAAAGAAAUAAUCUUUUCCUUUUUCUUUCUCUCUCUUUUUUUUUUUAACUAUGUUUCGUAUGCAGUACAUUUCCUGAGGCAGAAAACAAAAACAUGGAACAAAAUAUUAGCCUUUUACUUUUGUAGUUUUACAUUCUACUAUUUCUCUUUUUGAACUCUGGGGUUUCUUUUUAAUAUAGAGAAAAAGAUCAGUAACACUGUCAUUAAUCAUAACCAAUUUUCAGUUUCUCACUGUUCAGUUGAUCAAAAAAUUGAAUAUCCAUCCCAAAUAAUAAGGCAGUAUUCUUGCAUUUGAUUUUCUCACAGACCAGGAAAAUAAAUUCAAAAUGUCAAACGUUUUGUAGAAUAUCUUUUUCUGCAAUUCCUAUUCAGAAACAAUAAAAUGAAAUCUUUUAGAUGUCUCAUAAUGAAAGUGCUCCCACCCAGUUACAUCCUGGGAGAAAUUAUCUAUCACGACUUAUAAAGGAAAUAUCGUCUGCAACCACCCAUAGAGGAACCUGACAGACUGUCAAAGACCUGGAACUACAGUUGUCAAAAGUCCCUGAGAUAACUUGGGUAGAUGCCAAGAUUAAUAAGCCUAAUUAAAAUUACACUACUUUAUUUCCAUUUUUUCCUUGUAGAAUAAUAAACCACAGUCAGCCUAGAUUUUGUUUUUUAAAGAUCUAUUUUUUUACCUGGCUGUGUUAACAUCUCUCCAGUUGCAUUAUCUCACAGUCUGGUAUGUCCUGUGCAACCCAGAUGUAUAGUUGUUUCACAAGAUUUAUGAGUACAUGGCAAAGUUCUCAAGACAAACAGAUUAUGUCCUUUCCGAAUAGCUGUGUUUGACUGCAGGAGCUACAGAGUAUUUUGGAUAAAUGUGCUCAGCAGGCCUUUCUUUGAAGGAGACAGAUAGUGUAACAGCUAAUAUCAAGAACAGUGAUUAGCACCAAUAGAUUUUAGCAGAUUUACUCCAGUCAUAAUGGUAGCCCUUAAACUUGAGGAGGCAGUGCACUGGACUUACAUUAACUCUAGCAAAUUUGCUCCUAGAAAAGCAGUGGAAAACCUAGGGAAGAUUCUUACUAAUAAAGCACACUUUCAUAAGAAAAUCUGCUCUCCAAGGAAGAUCAGGGACAAGAUUAUACAGACAACCAGGACAAAAAUCAGUAGACAAGAAAAACUUCAGAAAUACUUAGUCUGUGGUUACUGUCUAAGAAUUAACUAUUUUUUUAUUUUUUAUUUUUUUGUUAAGACAGAUAUCAGGUCACUUUUUGAGACCAAUCACAGCUGCAGCUAUACCUGGAGUAGGACCUUGCUUUGGUUCUUCAUGAUUGCUAUAUCUAAAGUACAGCAGGAUGCAGCCAGAUAUGUCAAACUGCCCUUGUUUUCAACCAGGUAUUAGAUUCACAACUUCCUAAUGUAAAGAAAAAAAAAAAUUAUCUGUACUUUUGAAGACUGAAUUCAUCUCCAGGUAAUACAAAUGAGAAACGGUGCUCUUCCCCACAGUAAUAGGAUUGCAAUCAAGCUCUCAAUGUGAUUUACAAACUCUGUAGUGUUAACCAAUUACUUGCUGGUCAGCCAAUAACAAUGACUGAAUCAUCUUUUGCUUCAGAAAAGGAUCACUGCGCACAAGUUGGAGAAUCUCACAGCACUGCCUUCAAACCAUUCCUACUAAAUAAGACACUGCACUUCUCUGUCGAAAGAUACUAUAUGGUAUUUUAGCCCAAGAAACUUAUGUCAGGAUCUAUAAAAACAACUGGGAACAUGCAGAAUAAUUGAAUCUUAAAUGAUUGUGUAUAAUGUGUCUGCAUUUAUAUUUCAGCAUUUAAAUGCGUUUCAAUACUUUGGUGUGUGAAAGGGUUAAACAAUAACAGAUUUCCUGUGCUAAACAGCUUAAUGAAAAACAUUCAGGGUGCUUUUUUAGAACAACAGACUCAUACUGCAAAAUGAUAAUCUUUGGUAUGUCCUUUUUUUUUUUCUUUUUCACAAGUAACAAUAUAGGCGAGACAGACUUUGCUAUAAUUCUUCCUAAUUGCUCUAAUGCAUUUCAUUUUAUUUUAGUGUUUUCAGUUUAUAAAAACAGUUAGCAUCAGUUUGUUUCCAGUUUUAAUGGAGAUAAACUCCUUCUUUUCCCCCUGAAAAAAAUUCACAAUAUGGUUGGAAAUGUCAGCAAUAAUUAGACAAAAUGCUUGUGAAACAUAAAAUAAAAACAAUACGUCUUUUUAUAAUGGAAUCAGUUUGUCUGAUUAUCUCAAACAAUGUACAUUUCCAACUGCCCAGGAGGGUCAUUAGAGCUUAUGAAAAUCAAAGUCUGCUUUUUCUGCUUCAGACAUCAUGGACAACAAUAUUGUCUCCAGGAUCAUUAUAAAUAUAUGUUAGACUUUCUUGAACUACAGUGAACCUGAAGCAUGAAAUGCAUUUAAAGAUAAAAACAUCAGGGGAAAAAAAAAAGAACAAAUGAAAAACAAAACAAAAAAGCAAACAAAUAAAUCCACUUUGUGUUAUUAACUAAAUAAGUGUUACAUAGAAAUUAUAGUUGGAUACAUAACCUCGCUGAAUACAGUACUCAAGGGACCUUGGUUCUAUUCUGUCAUCAGUCACAGAUUUCCAGUAUAACCUCAGAAAAGUCAUUUCCUACCCUAUGCACAAUGAGGGCUAUUUGUCCCUUAAAGAGAUGGUUGUGACAGAGCUCCCUUCUGAGUUCCUGUCUAGGUGUGAAGUCUAAUUCAAGAAGUUUCUGUUAUUCCUUUGAGAUACACUCAGAGAAUAGACAAGAGUAUCACUUCUACCUUUUUUCCCAUUUGUAGAAAUGGGGCUAAUAUUCUCUUGCUCUCACUGGAGAGUUUAUGGAUACAAUCCAUUAGUGUGUGAGAGGCAUUCAGAUACCAUGAUGACAAGGACCAUUUAGCAAGUAAAUAUCUGGAUGGAGUAGGAGGAAUUCAGCUGCUGUUACCACAUUACAUUACAAAUAGUUUAGGACAAAAGACAAACGGGAAGUCUGAUAAGUUUAUCGUAUGAUCAGUUAUAGUCAUACAACAAUUCUGCACUCAAGGAACCUGGAAAGCUGUUUCAAAAAUGAAGUUUCCACCUGUUUAGUUUGUUUACCAAUAAGUGUGGCAGUAUGCCUAUUCUGCCCAGUGGUUUAAGCACUUUUCUCCUGCUCAUACAUGCUGGGUUUUCAGUCUUCAAUUGCAUCUUUCAGAUUCAGCAGCAGUGUCACACGGCAAGAUGGAAUUCUAGGGAUGCUGCUGCGUUGUUUUGGAUGGGAUCCUACUAUAUCAGCUGCCAAAGUGCCCAAGGAAAAACUGAAACUUACAGGAAAAUUAUAGCGACAUGAAGAAAUUUCAUUAAAAGUGACAUGUUCUAAACCUUUUAGAAAUACAAAAAUCUGUUGAAGAUCCCAAGAUGUGUGUAGAAAAUGUGGGUAAGAAAAGAAAAUGCAUUACUAAACUAAUCUAAAACCAAAGCAGGUAUUUCUCUGCUAUAGUAUUGCUACACAUAUGCUCUUGUUAGUACAAGCAAAUGCUUACCAAUAAUGAACAAUCUCUGUUGGUUGCAAUGCUCAAGCACAAAUUAAACAAUGCUAAAAACUAUUAUUAAAGCACAUGAAGGAAUUAAUACAUAAAAUCCUUCUGCUACUUCAAAUUCACAGCAAAGCGAUUCCUCUCAGCUAAGCCAUCAGUACAAUGUACAGAAGCCUAUUUUUAGGAAUGGUUAAGGGAACAUACUUUCCAUGGAUCUCCAUGUAUUUCAAGCCUACUAAGGGUACAACCCAUCCUAUCAGAGUAGGUUUAUUUGGAGGAGGAGGACAAGGAUCCCUGCUCACACUGCCUCCCAUGGCAUGAGAAAUGAGAAUAUUCUCGACAUCCCAGUAGCAAUAGGAGUAGAUAUGAUCCACUGUAAAAUCCUGUGAGCUUCAUUAUCAGUUUCAGAUGAGGGUUCUGUUUGUAAUUAGCAGAAACCAAACCAAUGAAGUAGUAUUUGGUUUUCUUUUGUGUGUUUUGCUCUCCAACAGUUGCUGAACACUUCAUUUUAGUCCACCAAUUCCUCAGCUAGUGACACAGCCCAGUCAGGGUCACAGGCCCAAAAUGUAUUCCACCUCUAUGCUCACCUGUCUCUUAAGCAGGGAAAUUAAAAUUCAUUGUCAAAAUAAGCAGAGAUUUUGCAGAUUGAAACAAGAGAGGAAUAGCACUUCUCUCUCUUGUGUCUUCUACAGUGUAACACAGCAGAGAAAGUAAAGCCCAGGGAAAAACAAAUUAGAGUGACCCCAAUGUCCUGAAGACAAUAUUUUCAAGCUUCAUCAUUGAAAUAAAGAUUUGAGAAAUCACCAAUCAACAGCUCAAAUCCACCAGAAGCAGAACGUCAAGUUUGGGCCCACAUGCAGAUUCUCACAUGAGGCUUUCACAUGGUAAACAGCCAAUGUUUGAAAAGGCACACAGCAGAAAUUGUUGGAAGAAACAUUAGCUGGGAGGGCAGGCCCAUUGCCUUAGCUCUCCAAGGCAGACUGAAACAAUAGCAAGUGACACAGAUGAAUUUUCACCUUGUCUACCGGUACUGCCACAGAAAGGAUGUAAUGCAAUCUCCUGAGAAGUCCAUUGUCCUCAUGGCACUGUGUGAAAUCUGUGACAAUGUCAGAACUUGGUCAUAGCUCCACGUUCUCUGCCAGAAACAUAAGCAUGCUUCGAGUGCAUUAUUCUUUUAGAGGGGGGCCUCGAAAAGUUCAGCUGUAGGAUUUUCUCAUCAGCUUAAUUUUUCCAUGUUCUGUUUCGUUUCUGGUAUUUUCCCACUUAUGUUAUUUGCUUGCUGAAGCUGCUCCAUUCAUGGAGUUCAGUAAAUGGUGUUUGCCAUCAGAACAAUUUGAUUCUAGUUCUAAUUAUAACAACAAGCUGCUUUCUUCAAACAUAAUAUGGGUGUUUCAUUAUUUUAAAUUGUUAUCUUCCAUAUUAAUUACAGAAACAGUUGAUCUUUUCUGAGAAACCAGCAGCUGCAAAUUCCCCCCUUUUUAAAUGUCUCAUUUUAAUAGGUGAAACAUCAGGUAAAAAUUAAAUCAGAUUGUAUCAUAAUUCUCCAGAAGAAGAUAUGUAAGUUACAACACAUUGCCUCCAUAUUCCAUAGGGUUACACUAUUCAGGUGUAUUCAACCAUGUAGCUUAGUAUAGAUCACACAGCUCAGUUGCAGACACAGUGCCCCUAAAUAAAUCACACAGCAAUGGCAACAUUACUAAUGAGACUAUCAGAAUCAAAGGAAGCAGGGUGAUGCAUCUGAGUAGAGCCUACAUCAUUAUUCUGCAUGAUUUGUUUAUGGUAUUGUUGGUGAGUCGUGUUUCUCCCCCCUCCUUUCCUAGUCCAUCUGGAUUAAAAAUGGGAACUAGAAGAACUGAAGUCCUGGAAUAGCCUGUACACAACAGUCCUGCAGUCAUAAGGAGGGGUGGUCUGGUGCUUCUUGCAAGGCAUCUGAUUACACAAACUCACUUAUCAUCUGUACUCUGCAGCAGUUCAAGAGCUGAACUUCUGACAGUUUUCUUCUGUCACGUAUUUGUAGCUACUGAUCUCCAUGAUCCCUGAAAGAAGUAUAACUCAGUUACUGAGCCUGCUGACACUCAUGUCAUACUUUUUUCCAUCCUCACUCAAAGCAGUGAUCGAAAUUUAUUCCUAUUUUGUGAAGUACAGAGUAACGAAUUUCCAAUACUAGUGGCUUUUUCUCCACAAUAGAACUCCACAUUUCUGAAAGGGAAAGUUAAUGUUGGAGAUGAGAAUAUGCUACCAGCAAAGCUAAGUUAUUUAGCAUUUCUACAGUAUUUAAAAUUUCUUCAGAUAAAAUAUGAGAAUUAUAUUUAAAAAAAAAAAGAAGAAGAAGAAGAAGAAGAAAAAGACAAACAAACACAGAACAGUUUUCUAAAGAUGAUAUGUAAGCUGCACAACACUGAGAUUCUCCUUGGACAUAAAUUGCUGACAACAUGUCAAAUCUUUUCCACAACUGGGAUACAUUUACAUUGUUUUAAACAUGGAGUUACUUCUUUGCUGUUUAGGAUUUGGCCAAAUUUAAACAUGCUUGGAAGACAGAGACUUAACUUCUCAAAUAAUUUAUUGAUUGCCGAUAGAAACAUUUUUUCUUAAAUUGUGCAAAUAAGAGCUAGAUAACAUUGAGAAUAGGAGCUUUCAAAACCUCUGCACUGAUCACAUCUGACAAACAAGAUAGGAAAAAAAUAUUAAAAAAAAAAAAAGAAAAAGAAAAGAGUUUAAAAGAAGAGUGAUAACAACACAACAAAACAGCAAAACAAAACAACACAGAAAAAACAACUCAAAACACAACCCAAACCUAGAGCUUAACCAAAUAAUUCAAUGUUCUUCCCCAAAACCAAUGGAGAGAGGAAUAUAAAUCAUGAAUUUAUAAUAAAAAAAAAAUGAUUUUUUUUUCCUAAAUCAAUGGUACUCCUAAACACGCUUCAAACAAUAAAGUAAGACUUUGCAGUGAUGAGUAGUUCAAAACAAUUCUUCAACCAGAUGGUUACAACUGUGGUUUUCUGUACUCCCCUUUCAUUUUCCCUUUCUUACAUGUCCCUCCCACUUUGCAUCAUACCAAUUAAUAUCUUUCCUUCCCUAACAGCCCUCUAGAUAAUUCACAGAGGCAUUUUUCUGUGUGGCCUAGCAUUAAACAGAAACUAUUAAACAGUCAACUCCUAUUUCUUCUAUAGAAUUAAUGUCAUGUUAACUCACAGAAUGCCUUGCUGUUUAAUCACACAUGAAUGAGGUAUUUUAAAGAAGUUGUAAGGUAUUUCAGCCACACCCUAAGAACAUUCCGCUGAUUUAAACCAGGAUGCACUAAACCUGUUUUAGAUACAGUAUAGGAACACUACUUUUAAUUGCUAAUUUUUGCCUUACAAAUCUAAGUAGAAAUAACAAGGAAAAUAUAAUGCUCUUUAAAACAGAAAAAUUGAGUUGAAGUUUUGUGCAAUUUGAUGCCUUGCUGGCAUUUUAGGACUUACUAUUAAAACUCACAUGAAAGUAACCUGAAGGAAAGUUCUCUGGAAGGACAAAGGAAUCAAAUUGUGUCUUUGAUGCUUAUAGACAUAUUCUGGAGUGAUUUUAUAUUGAAUCCCACUUCCAUGAGAACUAUGUGGUUUUAUUCAUGGAGGUGUAAGCACCUGAGCACUCAUCUCUAUGAGUAACAAUAUUCAGAGUUCCAUUGUAUUCUAUUAUAUUAUGACUAGCAGCCUCCAAAUCUGCACUGAAGUAGUUUGAUGCAUUAUCAGCAUUUUGAUCCAACCAUAGCUCAUUAUCUGUGGUCUUACUACUGAUGUGUCUCCAGUCAUGACUCAGAACGGCAGUGCUGGGGCCCAUGUGACCAGAUCCCCUUUCAUCUCCGGGGCUCCAUUUUCUUUAUAAAACAAAGAGGUGCCAUCACAAAUGUACUUUUUGGCAUUUCCCUGUCAGCCAGAAUCAACCUGCUAACUGAUAGGUGUGCUGUGUCUCCUAGAGGGUCUAGAUGUGCAUAUGUGGUUGCAUCCAUGCUCAGAAACAAGGUGCUUAAUCAUGGCAAAGUACAGGGACAUUAAAACCCAUCCAGUUCCAACCCCCUGCCAUGGUCUGGCUGCCCCCCAACAGACUGGGGCCCAGGGCCCCAUCCCACCCAGCCUUGAACGCUUCUAGAGGUGAGGUACCUACAGCUUCUCUGGCAGCCUGUCCCAGCACCUCACCAUUCUCUGAGUAAAGAAUUUUUUGGUAACAUCUAACCUAAAUUUCCACUAUUUUAGUUUAAAGCCAUUCCCCCUUCUUCUAUCACUCUUAUACAGUGUUUCAGUGCUAAACAUAUUAAUUACAUAUCCCCAGAAAUUUUUGAACUGCAGCAGUCAGGCUGGAAGGGAACAGUCACAGCAGCAGCACUUUUAGUCCCAUGGAGGAAAGAUUCCAGAUCUCAAAUGCCAGAAUUCAUGUGUGCAGAGAGCACCAAGAAGUGCUGCAGAGAGCACCAAGAGCCAACAGGAACGAUGGUGCCUUUUAAUCUUGGUAAUAAAUGAGCAAAUGCAGCAAAGUAGAAUUUAUCUGUUAGCACUGACAGUUGUUAAAGACCAUGUAACUGUCUGUAAUGUAUAUAGAAUUAUUGACAUCAGAUGUGUUUAUAUUUAGGUUAAACAACUAUAUUGUUUUUAUAAGAGAAAACUGUUUCUGAAAACAAUAGGCCAAAUUGCUUUUUCUUGCUAAGAACAAUGAUGCAAUUCUGCCAGUACCAACAAUUUUUAUUACAGAAUCAGCUAACUGAAAACACAAGGCUCUUUAACAACAUGUAUCUUACAAAGCACUCCAGUGCAUGCUGAUGCUGUUUUGCUUUGUUUGCCAGUCAAGAUGGGUAAAAGCAAUUUGUAUUUUGCAUUUUGCUUGUUAUUUCACUUUUCCUUUGUGUGGUUCCUCUUGCUUUCCUUUCUUUUCAUGCAGGCAAGCUCCAUUUCUUCUAAAUUUUUCACUAUCAAAACUACUUCGAUGAAAUCAGAGUCAGCUGAAGAGAAAAAGGCAAAUCCUUCCGGGAUGAGGAAGAAACAGAAGGAAAAGAGAAGAGAAUUGAGAUGGAAAAUACAUUCUUGUCUCCAGAAAUAAGCAAGGCUCCCCAGAAUUUGGAGAUUAUGCAGUCACAGUUACCACAGCAAACGUAUUCUGAGCCGUGUCUUGGACCAUCCCAUUAAAGAUUUUCAAAUACACAACUAUAGGACUGCUUGCAAGAGGGCUGCAUAUUUGAAAUUUGUUUAAAUGCUAGUGUUAUGGAAAGCAUAAUCGGUACAGAUAUACCAAAACUGAGUCUGUAAAACAGAAAAUAAACCUUGCCAUUUGCCAUUUAGAGGCAGUUUAAAACAAGGUCUUUGACUUUGGACUGUACCUGGCAGGUUAGAGAUUCACUAGAUGUGCAGAAGAUGCAGCAAACUGAGAUCAUAGACUAAUGAUUUAGAUUUAAGAUUUAAACUAUAUCUCAUUGUCAUUGAGAUAACAUAAUAACUGAAUUAAAAAAAAAAAAAAACUGGCUUUUGUCAGUGCAAAAAUUAAGCUCUUGUGCUUGCCUCAGUAAUGAAAUAUACAACAUCUCUUGUUGUCCUUACCUUUGAACUGCAGAUAACUGUACAGCAAUGUUACAGGACAGAGAUACACUUGUGAAAUAUUCACGAGCUGAUGUCUUUGCAGCCCCACGGGACCAGUGAAGAGCUCUUUUUUCCCCCACAUCUCUCUCUCAGACUUUAAAUAAUGAGGAGCAGAAAAGGUAUGAGACAACAUGUCUGUGUGUCUCCUUUGAAAUCUUUUCUUACAUUACCUUGUUAUCUGUGCUCAAGAGCAGCAGGUAUUCCAGCAGUUCAGAGUGUAUCCACAGCAAAAACACCCAGCAAAAUAGACUACCAGUCGACACAGCUUUCAGUUCCUGGUCCAGUCGGCAAAACACAAAACUAAUACAUAGGGGAGUGCCAGCCUGGCUGAGGCUAGAGGGGAGUGAAGGCAGAAUUUUUGCCAACCAGUGAUUUAGGAAAAUAUAUAUUAUUCAUCCUGGAAAACAACCUAAUGCACUGUUUCCUACUCUGUGCUCUGAAAGUGCCUUCAUAUGGAAAGCUAUUAAACUUCUAUAUGUUUUUAGCAUUACAGCGUGGAUCAAAGCCUGACCACCCCAGGCAGAUGAGAGUGUCAGAUCCCUCCACCAGUCAGGAGGAUUUGGAUCAGUGUUUUCACUUUAGCCGUCAGUGGUGAAGAAAUCCAUCCAGACCUGAAUUUGGAGUUUUUCCUAUGCUACAGUACUGUGCAUUGGGAAAGACCAUCCUGAACUUACUAUGGGUGGAAUUCCACUUGUUUCUACCACUCUAAGUCAGGCUGGAGCAUGGACAAGAAUUAAAUCAGACCAGACUUAUCAGGGGAAUUCACCUUGUCAUCAAGGCAAACGUAACACUUUUUUUUUUUUUUUUUUUUUUUGAGGAGGCAUCACAUUUUAAAUUUCAAGUGCUGUAAGUCUUCUAACCCCCUUUUUUUAUUCCUUCUGUGAUACAAAAAUGCUUAUAUAACAGGUAUUUUCCCACACCAGCCUUAAAAGCCCUUAUUUCCUUUCUUUUUUUAUUUCAACAGACUAAUAGUCAUUGCAACACAGGUGACAGUAAAUCAAAUCAAGUUGAAAUGUCGGCCUGACUCAUUCUCAGACGAUAUAUGAUUUGUUUGCAUUGCAUUAUCUUGGAAACCCAUAGCCAGUGUGCACUAACUACAUGUCUGCACAUGGCAAGAAGAUAAACACCCUUAGCCAGUAAUAUAAAAUCUAAAUAAAAUUACAAUCAGGUUUGUAUACUAGGAUAGCUUUGUAACACCCAUGGGGCAUUACUCUUAUCAUUAGAAUUAUUUGCAUUAGAGCAGUGUCCAAAGAUCCUGCCUAUGAUCAGGUUCAAAUUGUGCUAGGCUCUGGAAAACAUGGGAAGAGACAAAAAUUCUGAAUGUUAAAUAGAUAAUUACAUGCAAAGGGUGUGAGAAAGAAAGGAUGGCUAUCAUUAUUUUGUAGAGAACUUAGGUGUGGAGAUUACAUUUUUGCUACAUUCUAAGCAUAGGUGCAAAGCAAUGCUGAAGUACAAGUCUGAUUUGCAUGUUCUUUGCACACCAUAACAUGUGUAGGUUACCACGGCUUUGUGGAAAUACUGAUAACAGUGGGAGAGAAAGCUUGAGUCUUCCAUCUCCAGCCACACACAUGGGCAGCUGGAAACGGGUGGCUAGGCUUUUCGCCUGAGGCAACAGCCACGCAUCCUGUCAUGCUGUCCUCUGACACUAUUUGAGUGCUGAUCAGACACGCCUGCCCAAGUUGUUCCCAUAAAGGCUUAGAGCCCUGCAACACAGGAUAGAUGGGCAGGAGAGUUACAGGAACGCCAAGCCCAGAGUCAGAUACCUGAAUGGAUGCCCAGACAACAUGAGUGGGUUUUUUGUUUAUUUUUUCUUUUUCCUCUCUUGGGCAGACCACAUGUUUUCUGUAAAGUCAUAAAAAAAUCUAAGUGGUGCUAAGAACCAGUCACCUCACUCCAGUUUGGCAUUUGCAAAUUCACCAUUCCUCUCUAAGGUAACAGCUGCUGGAACUACACCAGCAACUUCUUCAAAAAACAGGACAAGUGGUCUUUCAGUGGUGAAAGAUCUGCUGAACUCAAAGGAAGCUGCAUCUGGAGUAACAUUUCAAUGUAUACGCUGUGCAUGCUUACAAGUUUUAUGAUUACAGAAACAGCCAGCACAAUGCUGGGCUGACGAAAGAGGGGGUGGAUGUUUAGAUGCUGCUGUUUCACUUCAUGUUGGCAGGGAUAUGGAAAUUAUGAAGUGAUAAGGAGAGAUGUAAGAGGGAGGAGAAGGCAUGAGUGAUUGAUUAUGUGCUUAAUUAAGCAAUGUUGGCCACAUCAAGUUGUAGUGAAGUCUCUGUACAUCUGUAGCAUGCUUUUAGUCCCAGGCAAUAAAUUGGCUACCUGCCUCUGAAUGGACAGUGAGGGGAAAAUACUUUUGAAGGUAGAAAUGUUGGCUAUCCAGAAGCGAUGGAUGGUUACUUACUAUUUUUUUUUGUCUUUGAAGACUGUAUAUUAUCAGUUAACAUAAUGAACUCACCAAGUGGUCCAGUAACCCACGGAAGUAAUUCUACUUAGAUCACUGAAAUAAAAGGCAGGAGCAAGGCUUUCAGACUUAGGCCUCAAACAAAAACUAACAUUCAAGGAUAGCAAGCUUUUCCUCCUGUUUAAGCUCCUUUAAUAAAAAUGCAAAUAUUGCUUUCUUAACCACAAUAGGAACUCUAGUCAUUAUUUUUCAAUACUAAUGUUAGUGUUUUCCUAUAACUUCUGUUGUGCUGUAAUUCUAGAGGCCCAUGUCUAAUCCCAUAUGUAAUGUGUUUAUUAGAUGUAAUAUUUUAUCUCUUGGAUACAGUUUCUGACACUAUCAUUUUGUUCUUAUUUCAAUAAAACUGAUUUCCUUCCUUCUCACCCUGACAGGAUGCAUUGAAUUUCUUUAUCACAGAAGAAAGUUAGAAAGGUUCUCCCAUAAAAGACAAAAAUGGACUGCAUGUAGUGUGGCUUAAUUUAAUUUAUCUCAUAAAGUCCAGACCAAAUAAAGUAACUUUAUAAUAUUAGAUACGGCCAGAAUUGAGCUGGGAUUCUUUUGUUGUUGUUGUUUGUUUUUAAUAUAUGGUUAUCUAGUCUCAGUAAAUCUGUAGCUCAUUGGCUUCACCACCUGUAUCCUUCUGAACACAGAAUGAAACAGUACCAAAUGCUCAUGCAAUUUCUGAUUUUCUUUGGGAAUUCACUAUCUGUGUGCUUUAAUCAAGUGAUAAUAUGUAGGAACCAUUCCAGCUUUCAGCUGACAAAAGCACAAUAUUAGUUGUUUGAUGAGAACUCCUCUAUGGAUACAAAUUCCACAUGGAUUUUCCCAGGCUUUGUAAAUUUAUUAAAAAAUAAUAUAUUCUAUACACAAUUAGAACAUGAAUGUUAAAAGAGUAAGUAAAGUAAUUUGUUGGGAAUGUGAAAUCAUCUAGAAAAGAAAGAUGUUUUCGUAUAAUUUUAGCUGUCACAUAAUAAUUUGCAAAACACAGAAGGCAUUUGAAACCUUUGGUAUCCAGAUCCAGAUUCCCAGUAGAAAAGUAUUCCUUUCAGGCUACCUUCUGGAAUAAAGGUCUUCUUUAUCUCCUUUAUCAUAUUGGUAGUGUUUCACUAAACAGACAGUCAGAAGCUGCUGUUGAAUAGGGAAGCUGGAAAACGCUCAUCUUAUUUCAUAUUCAUUUUCCACACCUUGUCAACAACUGCACAGCUCACCACUGAAGCUGCAUUUCAUGCAAUGCAUCCAAAGGUUACAACUUAUAGGUCAGAGAUGGGAAUUUUCACUUCGCAAUCACUGGGCAGCUGAGACUCCAUACAUUACUGUGGUGACAGGUAUAGUACGCAGUGAUGAACCUUCUGUCAGUCAGACAGAGGUCACAUUGGUAUCAGUUACUAACAUACCCCUCUCCUAGCUUAAAAAAAAAAAAAAAAAAAAAAAAAAAAGGAAAAUUAAAAAAAGUCUAUUUUUUUUCUUCUUGUGGAAAAUGGAAACAGAGUUGAUGUUCACUAAUGUCAAGUGGCAGGAGAUUUAGAGCCCCAGAGCUCAGGAGGUCUCCUGUAGCUGUGCUGGCAGUACUUUCAGCACCAACAUAAAUCGCCGCCUGAACUGAAACCCACAAAAGCUGUUCCAGAAGAAACUACAACAGCCACGUAAACAUGUACUGGACAGGAAACAAUGAACUCCAACCUGGUACUGGAGAAUCCAAAAUAAGAGCAUGUCAACUUCCUGGUCAUAGCUAUUUUAUUUUUUUUCGUAUUUAGCAUCACUUACACAAAAACAGUUAAAAAUUAUUACCUUAGCAGACAGUCAGAUUUUUAGUUUUUGUAAUGAGGUGGCUGAAUCUCACAUUAAAGAGGAAGCUGUAACACAAAUAAGAGGAAGUGAAUAAGUACUUAAGAUGUACCUUCAACUCCGUAAUUUUAACGCUUUCAUGAAGAGAUCAGAAUACAAAAUCUAUCAUCAUUAAUUAUAUCCUGUUAUACCAUCCUUGUGUUCUUUGCCAAAUAAAUGCCAUAACACAUCAGAUAACAACAGAAUAUUUACAUUACAAAGGUUAAAGGAUCAUGCUAUCUGUAGCUAGGUCAAAGUAUUUUGGUCAACUGCAAUAAAAUUUUGUCUGAAGGUCCCCAGAGGUUAAUGCGAUCACUGAACUUCACAGUCAGUUUAUGAAUAAGACCUUAAAAGAAUAUUCCUAAGUUCCUGCAUUUUCCUACUUGUGGUACUUGAACAUCCACAAGCAAAUACUGGCCUUCCUAAACAAGACAGUUGGAUGACACAUUUUUUUUGUGUCAAAAAGGAAGCCCUUCUUCCCCUCAAAAAAAAAGAAAAAAAAAAAAAACCUAGCAUAAAGCAGACUCUAUACACAUGGAAUAAAUUGAUUUUACCAAGGCUAAAUUUGUCUAGUGGAGCCUAUACUUGAGAUCAUUCAAGCGCUCUCUUGAGUUAUCUCAUUGUAGCAGAGUUUGCAGGACAGGGCCUUGAAUUUGUUUCUGCCAUACAAAGUUGAUAUAUAAGAAGACAGGAUUUAAUUGAAACAUCUUGAAAGAG
ensembl:lncRNA